GACGAACGCUGGCGGCGUGCUUAACACAUGCAAGUCGAACGGAGAUUAUUAAUGAAGCUUGCGAUUUAAUAAUCUUAGUGGCGGACGGGUGAGUAACGCGUGGGCAACCUACCCAUAAGCGGGGGAUAACAGUCGGAAACGACUGCUAAUACCGCAUAAGCUAUUAAGGUCGCAUGACCUAAAUAGUAAAGGUGGCAUUUUAACAGUGCUAUCACUUAUGGAUGGGCCCGCGUCUGAUUAGCUAGUUGGUGGGGUAGCAGCCUACCAAGGCAACGAUCAGUAGCCGGCCUGAGAGGGUGGACGGCCACACUGGGACUGAGACACGGCCCAGACUCCUACGGGAGGCAGCAGUGGGGAAUAUUGCGCAAUGGGGGAAACCCUGACGCAGCGACGCCGCGUGAGCGAAGAAGGCCUUAGGGUCGUAAAGCUCUGUUGUAAGGGACGAAUGUUUGUCUGGCGAACAGUCAGAUAAAGUGACGGUACCUUACCAGCAAGCCCCGGCUAA
rnacentral:rRNA from 1 species